UGGGGAAUUUUGCACAAUGGGGGAAACCCUGAUGCAGCGACGCCGCGUGAUUUAGAAGGCCUUCGGGUUGUAAAAAUCUUUUGUAUGGGAAGAAAAUGACAGUACCAUACGAAUAAGGACCGGCUAAUUACGUGCCAGCAGCCGCGGUAAUACGUAAGGUCCGAGCGUUGUCCGGAAUCAUUGGGCGUAAAGGGUACGUAGGCGGAUAAGCAAGUUAGAAGUGAAAUCCUAUAGCUCAACUAUAGUAAGCUUUUAAAACUGCUCAUCUUGAGGUAUGGAAGGGAAAGUGGAAUUCCUAGUGUAGCGAUGAAAUGCGCAGAUAUUAGGAGGAAUACCGGUGGCGAAGGCGACUUUCUGGCCAUAAUCUGACGCUGAGGUACGAAAGCGUGGGUAGCAAACAGG
rnacentral:rRNA from 1 species